GUGCUACCCCUCCCUCCCCUCAGAAAUGCUGAUCUAACUGGCCUGGGGCAUGGUCUCUUUCCAGGUUCAACCUAGUUUGUGGGACUUGGUUUGAGAAUGGGUUCCUGUCCUUUCCACGUAAGUUAUCAGCUACUCCUUUUAACCUCUUUACUUCCUCUUACCUCUGCCUUAUUAUCUGUGGUGAAGGAAUGAAGAAAUACAACUUAUUACAUCAGAAAACUGUCAGAUCAGGAGUUUCCGUUGUGGCUCAGCAGAAAUGAAUCUGACUAGCAUCCAAGAAGACGCAGGUUUGAUCCCUGGAUACUAGACGGGGUUAUUACCGUUGAGCCACAACAGGAACUUCCAAGUGGCAGGUGCUUUUAAUGGGUCUGAUAGGAGAAAAUGACUAUUUCUAGAAUCAAAACAUGAAGGUGGAGGAGGGGGAGGCCACCCAUGGCCCAGCAGCCUUAUUUAGGGUUCCCUGUUGUUAAACGCUACUCACUCGCCAAUCCCACGCACACAACAGUCCUUGCAUCCUGGGGCUGUUUCCUUUGAACACACUGAAUCGCCACAGGUUGGGGGUCUAGGACUGUCUGGCGUUCAGUGAAGAGCUUAAUAUAUGCUUAAUGAAACAAUUCUUGGAAGCAAGACAAGUCACCAGAUCACAAAGAGAGAGAAGAAAAAAAGGGAUUAAAAAAAAAUUCCCAUAAACCAAUAUCCACAAAAGUUGUGACAAUCUGGGGGCUAUUUUUAAGGUCUUUCAAUACUUUAGAGCUCUUAUCAAGGAAAAUAAAACCAAGUUCUUUCUCUUUUUAUUCCCUUCCCCUCAGCGCUCCUGCAUUUAAGGUCAUCCUAAGGCAUUUCUUUGCAGUCUCUUUUUGUUGUUGUUGUUUUGUGUUUUUUCGGCUUUUUAGGGCCACAUCCUUGGCAACGCCAUAUACUUAACCCACUAAGCGAGGACAGGGAUUGAACCCGCAUCCUCAUGGAUGCCAGUUGGGUUUGCUAAAUGCUGAGCCACAAUGGGAACUCCUGCAGUCUCCCUCUUUGACUUCAGGACAGACAUGAUUUAGGAUCCCUGGUCAAAUAUGAAUUUUUCUGGUCCCAAUGGCUUCCCAAGGAGACGAACUUUCCAAUGCCCCUGUCCCCCACCCCGUGACCUAUUAUUCAUAAUGUUACCUGGAAUCCUUUGCAUUCAGGCACAAGAGACAUAGUAUUUCCAUUAACAUGGGAAGGGAAUUCUAUGGGAAACAUUACGUUAAAAUAGGGAAGGUAUUUGGGCAUCAGUGUUUUCAACGUCCCCAGCCUCUGACCAAGGACUAGGCUGCAGGACCCAUCCCCACCGCUUGGAAGGGACAUGCUGCAGGUUAAUUUUCUUUGUGAUCUAGUUUAUAUCCUUCUAUUUUAAUGGCAGCCUGGAAAAUGGAGUGAGGCACACAACUCCCCUCCAGCCACGCGGCCUGGAAACUUCUCAGAAGCUGCUCCAGGCUCCAGAUCAGCCCUGCAGAACCUGUCCCUUCCUGCUCUUCAUUCUCUUUUUUUUUUGCUACUUACAAUCCUCUCCAGGUAUAAUGAGCACUUUGUCUCGAGUCAUACAUAAUUAUAUAAGAUGCCACCUUUUGGAGAGGACUGUUACGUGCAGAACUAACCUGUAUUCAACGUCUCAUGUU
rnacentral:lncRNA from 1 species